UACGUAGGGUGCAAGCGUUGUCUGGAAUUAUUGGGCGUAAAGAGCUCGUAGGCGGUUUGUCACGUCGGAUGUGAAAACCCGGGGCUUAACCCAGAGCCUGCAUCCAAAACUAGCGAGCUAGAGUUCUGGAGGGGAUAGCGGAAUUCCUGGUGUAGCGGUGAAAUGCGUAGAUAUCAGGAGGAACACCGGUGGCGAAGGCGGUUAUCUGGACAGAAACUGACGCUGAGGCGCGAAAGCUAGGGGAGCAAACAGG
rnacentral:rRNA from 1 species